UACGUAGGGUGCAAGCGUUAAUCGGAAUUACUGGGCGUAAAGCGUGCGCAGGCGGUUUUGUAAGUCUGUCGUGAAAUCCCCGGGCUCAACCUGGGAAUUGCGAUGGAGACUGCAAGGCUAGAAUCUGGCAGAGGGGGGUAGAAUUCCACGUGUAGCAGUGAAAUGCGUAGAGAUGUGGAGGAACACCGAUGGCGAAGGCGGCCCCCUGGG
rnacentral:rRNA from 1 species